rnacentral:rRNA from 1 species
AUGAACGCUGGCGGCGUGCCUAACACAUGCAAGUCGAACGGAGUCCAGCCUUUAAGACCUUCGGGUCAAAGAGGGGAAGACUGAGUGGCGGACGGGUGAGUAACACGUGGGCAACCUGGCUCAUAGAGGGGGAUAACAGAGAGAAAUUUCUGCUAAUACCGUAUAAGCACACACUGCCGCAUGGCAGAGGGUGAAAAGAGAAUCGCUAUGAGAUGGACCCGCGUCUGAUUAGCCAGUUGGCAGGGUAAGAGCCUACCAAAGCGACGAUCAGUAGCCGAUCUGAGAGGAUGAACGGCCACAUUGGGACUGAGACACGGCCCAAACUCCUACGGGAGGCAGCAGUGGGGGAUAUUGCACAAUGGGGGGAACCCUGAUGCAGCGACGCCGCGUGAGUGAAGAAGUAUUUCGGUAUGUAAAGCUCUAUCAGCAGGGAAGAUAAUGACAGUACCUGAAUAAGAAGCCCCGGCUAACUACGUG